AUUGAACGCUGGCGGCAGGCCUAACACAUGCAAGUCGAACGAGUGGCGGACGGGUGAGUAAUGUCUGGGAAACUGCCCGAUGGAGGGGGAUAACUACUGGAAACGGUAGCUAAUACCGCAUACCAUCGGAUGUGCCCAGAUGGGAUUAGCUAGUAGGUGGGGUAACGGCUCACCUAGGCGACGAUCCCUAGCUGGGCUGAGAGGAUGAACCGCCACCCUGGGAACGAGACACGGGUCAGACGCCGAAGGGGGGCAGCAGUGGGGAAUAUUGCACCAUGGGCGCAAGCCUGAUGCAGCCAUGCCGCGUGUAUGAAGAAGGCCUUCGGGUUGUAAAGUACUUUCAGCGAGGAGGCGUUACUCGCAGAAGAAGCACCGGCUAACUCCGUGCCAGCAGCCGCGGUAAUAC
rnacentral:rRNA from 1 species